ACUACAUGUGUAAGAGGUGCCUAAAAAAUGUCCUGAGAGAGAUGAAACUCUAAAGUGCUUGGAAAAGAGAUGGCUUAUCUAAAAACAUCUUACAUGACACAGGUAGCAAUUUGUUGAUUCAUUUUGUUGUUUCACACGUAAAACUAAGAGUGAGCGGAUAUAAAACAAAACUAUACUUGUAAUAAAUAGGUUGGACGAGAAAGACAAAGUGCUAGUUACCUGCUAUAAGGAUCUUCUAGUCGUCUCUUAACCUCUUCUGGCAAGCUGGCUAGCCUGCAAAAAGAAAUUAUCUUGUGAGGAUUAGAAUUACUGUUUCUUUAUAUCAAUAGCAGAAAGAAUGAACAGAUGUUAAAACUUAUGCCUAGGUGGAAGAUACAGAAGAUUUUG
rnacentral:lncRNA from 1 species